rnacentral:rRNA from 1 species
CUCCAGACUCCUACGGGAGGCAGCAGUGGGGAAUAUUGCACAAUGGGGGAAACCCUGAUGCAGCGACGCCGCGUGAGCGAUGAAGUAUUUCGGUAUGUAAAGCUCUAUCAGCAGGGAAGAAAAUGACGGUACCUGACUAAGAAGCCCCGGCUAACUACGUGCCAGCAGCCGCGGUAAUACGUAGGUGGCAAGCGUUGUCCGGAUUUACUGGGUGUAAAGGGCGUGUAGCCGGGCUUACAAGUCAGAUGUGAAAUCCGGGGGCUCAACCCCCGAACUGCAUUUGAAACUGUAGGUCUUGAGUAUCGGAGAGGCAGGCGGAAUUCCUAGUGUAGCGGUGAAAUGCGUAGAUAUUAGGAGGAACACCAGUGGCGAAGGCGGCUUGCUGGGCUUUUACUGACGCUGAGGCUCGAAAGUGUGGGGAGCAAACAGGAUUAGAUACCCUUGUAC